UGUGGUGCUCCACGGCCGGGGGCUUUAGCGCGGGCCUGGCCGUGUGGGGACUCGCUGCUCGGACAGUCGGUGCUCCUGCGAGCUGCCUCCGCCUCGCUGCGCUCCCCGGUGAUGUACGGAGGGCUCGGAGGGUCUCGACGGACUGCAGAAGAAGCAGGCCCGCCGCCCCUAAUGUUGUUGUCAGGCGGGGGAGCGGUGCCCGGCCCCCCCGGAGGAGGUGGAGGUGGAGGCGGGAGUAGCCGUGUGGAGCUGCUGGUGUUCGGCUAUGCCUGCAAGCUGUUUCGGGAUGAUGAGAAGGCUCAGUACCAGGAGCAGGGGCGACACCUUAUUCCUUGGAUGGGAGACCCCAAGAUCAUGAUCGAUAGGUAUGAUGGGCGUGGUCACCUGCAUGACCUUUCUGAAUAUGAUGCUGAGUAUUCCACCUGGAACAGAGAUUAUCAAUUGUCCGAAGAGGAGGCUAGAAUAGAAGCCCUCUGUGAUGAAGAGAGGUAUUUAGCCUUGCAUACGGACUUGCUUGAGGAGGAGGCAAGGCAAGAGGAGGAAUAUAAAAGACUCAGUGAAGCUUUGGCAGAGGAUGGUACCUAUAAUGCAGUGGGAUUCCGUUAUGGCAGUGAUUAUUAUGACCCUUCAGAACCCACUGAAGAGGAGGAGCAUCAGCCUUCAAGACAAAGAGAAACAGUUCAAACAGAAAGUACGGAGGAAAAUGAGGAACCUUUUGUUGCCCCCCCAGGGCUGAAUGUACCUUCUGAUGUGGAACUGCCACCAACGGCAAAAAUGCACGCGAUCAUUGAGCGAACUGCAAACUUUGUGUGCAAGCAGGGAGCCCAGUUCGAGAUUAUGCUGAAAGCCAAGCAAGCACGCAACUCCCAGUUUGACUUUCUGCGCUUUGAUCACUACCUCAAUCCCUACUACAAGUUCAUCCAGAAGGCCAUGAAAGAAGGACGCUAUGCGGCUCCUUCAGAAAGUAAAGCUGACGAGAAAAAACACUCGAGAGUCAAAUCUGAGGAAGAUGAUGAUGACGAUGAUGACGAUGAUGGAAAUUAUCUUCAUCCAAGUCUUUUUGCAUCUAAAAAAUGCAGUAGGCUUGAAGAGCUCAUGAAGCCUUUGAAGGUAGUAGACCCUGAUCAUCCCCUUGCAGCGCUAGUGCGCAAAGCACAGUCAGAUAAUAAUUCAUCUACGCCACAGUCAACAGACGGGGCAGCUGUGCAGACAUCACAGGCAGAAUACUCCUCUGAUUCAACUGUGGCAGCCAUGUAUUACAGCUACUACAUGCUCCCUGAUGGGACCUAUUGCCUGGCGCCUCCACCUCCGGGGAUCGAUGUUGCUGCCUACUACAACGCCCUGCCCCCAGGGGUGACUGUGUCCAGCGCUACUGGAGUGGCAACUGUUCCUCCCCCUCCUGGUACCACACCCCCGCCUCCCCCCGACACAACUGACAGCACCAGUGGGUUGGCUUCUGCCACAACGUCUACAAGCACAAUUGCUCCAGUGGUUGCCAUUAUACCUCCACCACCAGAUAUCCAACCUGUCAUUGACAAGCUAGCUGAGUAUGUUGCUAGGAAUGGGGUAAAAUUUGAAACUAGUGUUCGUGCCAAGAAUGAUCUCAGGUUUGAAUUCCUGCAACCAUGGCACCAGUAUAAUGCAUAUUAUGAAUUUAAAAAACAGUUCUUCCUUCAAAAAGAGAGCGGUGACAACUGCCAGGGAGUGUCUUCUUCUGAAGAUGUUCCAGCAGACACUGCCAAUGAUACACCAAGUGAGACUCAAUUUGCAGAUGAACAUGCACCUGAAGAUGCAUCUGAGCCGAGUGCUAAGGGAGUUCCAGGAACUAAAAAGGAUAUUCCUCCUAAAGCUGUCAGUGAUGGUAAACUGGUGAAAGCAUCCUUUGCUCCAAUAAGCUUUGCAAUCAAGGCCAAAGAAAACGACCUUCUUCCUUUGGAGAAAAACCGUGUUAAAUUAGAUGAUGACAGUGAUGAGGAGGAAGAGGAGGGAAAGGAAGGCCAAGAGAAUGCUAACAGUGCAUCAAACCAUACUCCAGCAAUUACUGCUCCUUGUACUGCUCCUGAAGAGAAAAAGCCUCAGCUUACACAGGAGGAGUUGGAAGCUAAACAAGCAAAGCAGAAACUAGAGGAUAGAUUAGCAGCUGCAGCAAGGGAGAAACUUGCACAGGCCUCCAAAGAAUCAAAGGAGAAGCAGCUACAAGCAGAACGCAAAAGGAAAGCUGCCUUGUUCUUGCAGACCCUCAAAAACCCUCUGGCAGAGGCAGAAGCUGAGAAGAUUGAGGAGAAUUCCUUCAGUAGUGAGAGCAUCAGUAGUAUACCAUGUCCUGUGACUGCAGUCAGAACUUUACCCACCUUAGAAGUUAAACAAGCAGAAAAGCCUUCAAGCAGAAGCAGAGAUCUUCCUAGAGAUGAAGAAAAGGAAAAGAAAAGGAAAAAACACAAGAAAAGAUCUCAGUCAAGAUCUCGAUCACCAUUCAAGUAUCAUUCAUCAUCUAAGUCCAGGUCUAGAUCACAUUCAAAAGCAAAACAUUCACUUCCCACUGCCUAUAGGACUGUCAGGCAUUCAAGGCUGGUCCAUACAGGCGUGUUUCACUAAGGUUCAGCUUUUGGUUAAGGGACUAAGCCUUUUCAGGAUUCUAGUUAAUACCAAAACUAGGACAUUUUAGUCUGGAUGUGAAGUGUGUGCCUCCAUAUCACAGACUCACAGCAUCCACAGCGACACUGAGCAUGGAGCCGAGUCUGAGCAGCUCAUCAGUGGCAGCAGCAGCAGAGUGGAAAAAUUAUCAGGCAACUUGGGCAAUGAAAAGAUUUGACUGCUGGAGCUCUUUUGAGGGAAAUCCUGGUAAAAUGUCAAGGUCCCGAUCAAGGUCACCCCGGAGAAGGGCUCACACACCAGAACGGCGGAGAGACGAGAGAAGCGUUCCCACAGCGUAUCGCAUCAGCAAUAGUCCUGGGAACAGCAGGAAGCGGCCCCGCUCCAAAAGUCCCCAUGAAAAGAAGAAGAAGAGGCGGUCUAGAUCACGUACUAAAUCCAGAGCUAGGUCUCCCUCACCAUCCAUGUCGCCAGGCAAACCAUCCACACACAAAAAUUCUGUACAUUCAACUAGUGUCUCUCCCGUGGAGAGCAGGGAAUCCAGCCAGGAACGCUCCAGGGGAGUUUCUCAGGAAAAAGAUGGCCAAAUCUCUUCAGCAAUUGUGUCGUCAGUGCAGAGUAAAAUCACUCAGGAUCUUAUGGCCAAAGUGAGAGCAAUGCUUGCAGCUUCCAAAAACAUCCAAACCAGUGCCUCCUGAGACCUGUUGGAACUGACCAUCAGAAAAAUAAAAGAACAAUUGGAAAAGAACUGCCUCAUCUCAAAUGUACAGCUGAGCUUGGCUCACUUGGUUCACAACUCGCCUAAUUUACCAGAACUCAAGAAGCUAAAACCUAUCUUUCUGUACAGAAGCAUCUCCUUGAAAUUUCAUUAAAUUUUUUCAGCCAGAAUAUCUUUGAAAAGUUUUUGGGUUUUGUAAAUUGAUUUUUUUGGACUAAUUCUUCAAUAACAUUUUAUGAUCAGCAGUCUGUAUGUGUAUAUUUGUAAAUACUAUGUUUCUGUGAAAAGUAUUACACAAUAAUAAAGAAGGAAACAUCUUUCA